rnacentral:rRNA from 1 species
CACGUAGUUAGCCGGAGCUUAUUCUAUAGGUACUGUCAUUUUUUCUUCCCUAUCUAAAGCAGUUUACAAUCCGAAAACCUUCUUCCUGCACGCGGCGUCACUGCGUCAGAGUUUCCUCCAUUGCGCAAUAUUCCCGACUGCUGCCUCCCGUAGGAGUCUGGGCCGUAUCUCAGUCCCAAUGUGGCCGUUCAACCUCUCAGUCCGGCUACUGAUCAUCGUCUUGGUGGGCCUUUACCUCACCAACUAACUAAUCAGACGCAAGAUCAUCUAUAAGCGGAUUACUCCUUUUCUCUUUGUAUCAUGCGAUUCUCAGAGCUUAUGCGGUAUUAGCAAUGAUUUCUCACUGUUAUUCCCCUCUUAUAGGCAGAUUUCUUACGCGUUACUCACCAGUCCGCCACUAACCGCUCCAUUAGUAAACUAAAGGUUAAGUUCGUUCGACUUGCAUGUCUUAUGUGCGCCGCCAGCGUUUAUCCUGAGCCAGGAUCAAACUCU